GAAGAUGGAGACAACAGGACACUCAUUACCUCCUGCUGUGUCCCAUUUACCUUGAAGUGCCGAUGACAACAUUUGAGACCAGUAUUAGGGUUGGUCUCCCCUCCUGGCUGUGUUCCUGCAGUAACUGCACCUCUGUUCUAAGCAUGGAGCGUGCCUUUAUGAUCAAGCAGAAAUCUCCAAAGGCCCCCCCCCCCCCCCCCCAUCGGUGCAUUUCUCUGUGAAAGCUGAAGUCCCACGUGGGACCCAGCCUGUGCUAAAGAAGCAGUGCCCAUUCUGACUCAGUGCUUAAUGUGGCUUCCUGCAGAGCCUGGGACGACAGUGUGCAGCAACUGUCUUUAAACACCCUUCUUUCUGGAUGUUCCGAGGACAAAGCUCAGCCUGGAGCUUCUCUCACGUUUCAGUCCCCUGAACAAGGGCUUCUUGUUUCACUUACCAGCUGCUUAAAUCCUAAGAGGAUGGAAAUUCAAAAGGGCUUCCUUACGACUUUGAGAGAAGCUGUCAAAUGGUCAUUUUAAGUCUUCUAUAGUAUGUCUUUAAUUACUGGGUUUUUAAAUAAGUUACUUGUAACAUGGCUUUUGCAAACACGACUUCGCUAUGUUUAAUUUCUCUGACCCAGCUAAUAAGGUGGCUGUGAACCAACUCCAGCAACCUGUGAACUCACUGACGGGAAUUUUGUCCUGAUCGAACUCAGAAUUGCUUCAGCAUGACUUUCCCGAGAGCUUCUCCACAUCCUCACUCACCACAAUGGCAUUUGGCUCCACAUCUGUCCCUCCUGCCACGCUGAAUCCCAGACCCGAGCCUUCUUUCUUAGUCAAGACUAUGAAGCAGACAUCUUCUUUAUUCUAUUGAGAAGAAACAGAAGGAAAAAGUAUAUUCCCUGUGCCAAGAGGUACAAAUGAGUACAGACACAACCCCCCCGAGUGCUGCAGUCUAUCCCACGAAACCCAGUGGUUCCUCAGGAGCUGUUACAGGGUGUGAACUAGAGGAGCCAUGACUCCCCUGUCCUAUGCUCCCGGGUGGUGCCUUUACAGGUUUUCGAGGGUCCAGCCUGUGGCUACAGAACCACGGGAAGGAAGGUAUGGAUGGGACACUUUAGAAGCCAGUCUGUCCAAAUGGUGUCCUCCCAAAUUUGAUCAUGAAGGGAAUUCUUUAUUCUACAGUUAUGUCUAUAGUUCAGCAGCAAAGGGAGAUGCGUUAAGUGCCAAGAGCCAGGAAAAAGCACGCUGAGGCCAGGUGUUCUAUGCCCUGCGCCUCCCAUGCUCAGUUCACUCGAUUCCACAUGCAGUCAGUGAACUAGUACUCAUCAAAUACAAAGUAUGUUUAAAAGUAUAUAAAGUAUGUCACAAUAUUUAGAGUACAUGAAAGCUGUCAACUCCUCUAUUGGACAUUUUUAGCAGUGUUCUGAGGUUAAGUAACAAAAGAUUGUCCUGUGUUUCAAGCAUUGAUCUAAAGAUACCUUGCUAAGAGAUUUUAAAAUAAAAAAAUGAGCUGGGCUAAUUAUACUGAAUUUUCAGUUCUUCCACCCACACGCUAGAGAUGACUCACGUUUUAAAGAUCUGCUGGGUUUCCCAUCAAGUGAUAUAUAAUCCAUCAAUUUGAGGUGCUCUCAAACACAGCAAUAGAGGAAGAAUCUAAUAACCUUUAAGGAUUGCUUUGACAAGAGUGAAAAAGUUAGAAGAGAAAACCACCUCUGUAUUGUGCUGGGAAAGGAACCCAAUAUUUGAAAAGUGUUUAGGCCUUAUGACUUCUCUCAUAGAACCAAUCUUAGUCAUUUUACAUUUCUCUAAAGCAGCAUAUGUAGUCUUGGUUUGAAUGAACUAACAACAGAAUGACCUGCAGAACUUUUUGGGGGUUGGGAUUUCCACGUUAUGGGCAAAUUCGACCACGUGUGCUCAGACACCAUUCACUGGAGAGAAUGAUGACGGCUU